AACUAGAAUCUCCUUGCCUUUCGGCCCUCAUCCAUCAAUGUCUCCGGUGAGUAUCGGCCCAGCUCGAGGAACUUACGAGUAUACUCUGAUACUGUCAUGUUUCCCUGAACUAGUUGAACAAACUCCAUUUUCUUUAGGUGUCGGAGGUGCUCAGGGAGAUACUUUGCAUGGAAGGCCGCAAGGAACUGCUCCCAAGUGACUGGUGUAGGCAGGGUGGUCUGCUUGAGCUCCCACCAACGUCCUGCUUCCCCUACCAGCAUGUAGGAAGCAAGGGCAGCUCUCUGCUCAGGAACUACUCCCAAGAUCCUGAAAGCUCUCUCAGUCUCCGCCAGCCAGUAUUGGGCCUCUUCAAAAGAGGAUUCUCCUGCAAAGGUGGAGGGGUUCAGUCUCCUAUACCUCUCUAUAUAGCCCGGGUCGAUCAAGGAAGGAGCGAGGUCCCGUGGAGGAGGGACUGGACCUGGCUGGGGAUAGACUGGGGGGUCCU
rnacentral:lncRNA from 1 species